CAACGGGCGGCACCAGUAAGGAAUAUUGCGCAAUGGAGGCAACUCUGACGCAGCCAUGCCGCGUGCAGGAAGAAGGCCUUAUGGGUCGUAAACUGCUUUUAUUUAGGAAUAAACCCCCGAACGUGUUCGGGGCUGAAGGUACUAAACGAAUAAGCACCGGCUAACUCCGUGCCAGCAGCCGCGGUAAUACGGAGGGUGCAAGCGUUAUCGGGAUUUAUUGGGUUUAAAGGGUGCGCAGGCGGGCUAUUAAGUCAGUGGUGAAAUCCCGGGGCUCAACUCCGGAACUGCCAUUGAUACUGAUAGUCUUGAGUUUGGUUGAAGUGGGCGGAAUGUAGCAUGUAGCGGUGAAAUGCAUAGAUAUGCUACAGAACACCAAUCGCGAAGGCAGCUCACUAAGCCAAAACUGACGCUCAUGCACGAAAGCGUGGGGAUCAAACAGGAUUAGAUACCCUUGUAGUC
rnacentral:rRNA from 1 species